rnacentral:rRNA from 1 species
GACGAACGCUGGCGGCGUGCUUAACACAUGCAAGUCGAGCGGUAAGGCCCUUUCGGGGGUACACGAGCGGCGAACGGGUGAGUAACACGUGGGUGGCCUGCCCUCAGCUCUGGGAUAAGCCUGGGAAACCGGGUCUAAUACUGGAUAUGACUCCAUGACGCAUGUUGUGGGGUGGAAAGCCUUGUGCGGCUGAGGAUGGGCCCGCGGCCUAUCAGCUUGUUGGUGGGGUGANGGCCUACCAAGGCGACGACGGGUAGCCGGCCUGAGAGGGCGACCGGCCACACUGGGACUGAGACACGGCCCAGACUCCUACGGGAGGCAGCAGUGGGGAAUCUUGCGCAAUGGGCGAAAGCCUGACGCAGCGACGCCGCGUGAGGGAUGA